ensembl:lncRNA
GUAAUCUUCACUGAGACAAACACUCCAUGGUUCCACUGAGAUGAAGUCUAGAUGGGGCCGGGGAUUUAGCUCAGUGGUUUCGCCGCCUGCUGUGCAAGCGGAAGGACCGGAGUUCGAUUUCCGGUACCAAAAAAAAAAAAAAGAGAGAGAGAGAUGAGGUCUAGAGGGCGGUGGUCACAUUCAGUAACAGAGGAGGCUGGUGGCUGCCAGGAGCUUGAGUGAAUGGGUAGAGAGUUCAGUUUGAAAAGAAGUUCUGGAAGUAAACAAUGGCAGUGUUUGCACAACAAUGCAAAUGCUGCACAAAUGUACACUUAAAAACUGCUAAAAUGGUCAUUUUCUUUUUUUGUGUGGAGACAGGCUCUCACUAUAUAGUGCAGGUUGGAUUUGAACUCUUUUUUUUCUGGUACCAGGGAUUGAACUCAGGACCCUGCACUUUCAAGGCAGGUGAGGCACCACUGAGCUAAAUCCCUGGCCCUUGGACUUGAAUUCUUGAUCCUCCUUCCUCAGCCUUCCGAGUGCUGGAAUUUCAGGUAUCGAACUCGAUCCUUGCGCUUGUGCAGCAGGUGACAAAACCACUGAGCUAAAUCCCCGGCCCUUUACAAUUUUUUGAAAGCAGAAAAUUUGUUGACAACAUAGAGAAGAUGAAACUGCUAUAUAUUGCUGGUGAGAAUGUAAAAAAAUAGCGAUCCUUGUUGGAAAGUGGGGAGGUUCUUCAAACAAUUAAACACAAAGUGUCUUAGUUACUUUUCUCCUUGCUGAAACAAAAUACCCGACGCCCAGAGUUAAAGGGGAAAAGGUUUAUUUAGCUCACAGCUUGUAGAGGCCUCAGUCCACAAUCGGCUGGCUCCAAGGCAGGGCAGCAUGGCAGAGGGGGGAUUGCAGAGGAGAAACAGUUCAUGGACAGCAGAAGGUAGCAAAGAAAAGCAAUUGAGGGGCCUUAGCAGCUUUUUUCUGCCCCUUUUAUAGUCUAUCUAGGCUACCAGGAUUAGGGUGGUACCAAACCAAUCAGUGGACUGAUUUAGAAAUCACUCAUACUUAACCCUAGCACCCUUAAUCCCAGCAUUGCACCAUGAGUCACUCACACACUCUAGAUUCAGCCACCCAUGAAAAAGCCCCACCUAUGAUGCAUCAGGCUUUGAGGGGACAGCUAGACACAAGCCAUGACACAAGGUUUCUAUACGACCCAGCAAUUCCACUUCUAGAUAAAUGGCUAAAAGAGUUUUGAAACAAAACUUGUACGUGAAUAUUCACACCGCCCUUAUUCACAAUAGCCAAAAAGCAGAAGAACUCAAAUGAAUGGAUGGAUGGAUAAAAUGGGAUCUGUUCACACAAUGGACUAUUAUUCAGCUAUAAAGAGGAACGGAGCACUGCUAGCUGCUAUAAUAGGGAUGAACCUUGAAAACAUUAUGAAAAGGAAAGAAACCAGUCACAAAAGGCCGUAUCAUGUAUGGUUGCAUUUAGAUGAAAUGUCUGAAAUAGGCAAUGCAUAGAGACAGGAAGCAGAUUAGUGGUCACCAGAGGGUAGGGGGGAUUGGAAUGUGGACUGACUGCUUAGGAAGUAAAAGGUUUCUGUUUCCAGUGGUUUAAAGUUCUGGAAGCAGGCAGUGUGAUGAUUACACAACACAGUGA